AGAGUGGUGUCCUGUCUGUGUUUUGUAUGUGUUGUAUGUUUUAUGUCAUUUCACUCGUAAUCUCCAGAAAUCUCCUACAUCUGGCGCCCAACGUGGGGCUCGAGUGAAACUGAAAGGGUUUUGGACCCCAGCAAGAUUGAUCAAAAUCAACAAUGGCUGAUCCCCUUGUUCAAAAAAUUCGAAGAGCUUACUAUGCAGAGAAGCCUUACCUCCCGUACAAGGGAAGCAACACCUCCUACAUGGGGUCAAAUGAAAAGGUUGACCCAGGAAGCAGAGAAGACAUUGGUGAAGGCGGGGCAACCUCUGAAUCCUACCAAUCUUUUGCUUGCCAUGAUGGCGGUGGUGACAUGUCAGAAUCUUUGGAGUGGGAACGUUGCCAAGGUCAUCGACCCUUUAAGGUCAUGAAUUAUUCUGGGGCCAUCAUUGUAGAUUGGAGUCCAGAUCAUGGGCAAUUCUUAGAAAAAUGGUCAAAUAAAUCUUUUAGGUGGCAUCGUGCAGAUAGCACUUUGGUGGGCAAUGAUAACGAAACAGUUAAAC
ensembl:lncRNA